AUGGAGGUGGUGACCGGGGCGACGGGCAGCGUGCUGACCAAGGUGGGUGCGCUGCUGCAGGAUGAAUACAUCCGGCAGCAGGGGGUGCAAAAAGAUGUGGAGUCUCUCCAGAAGGAGCUCUUCUUCAUGCGGGCCGCCCUGUGCAAGGUGGCGGUGGUUCCGGCGGAGCAGCUGGACGAGCAGGUCAAGGCCUGGGCCAGCAACGUCAAGGAUCUCUCCUACGACAUGGAAGACGCCGUCGACACUUUCACUGUACGGGUGACGGCCAGCAAGGACCACGGCCGUUCAAGGAUUGCCGGCAUGGGCAAGUGGGACAGGUUCACUGCUCGAAGAGAGCUUGCGGACAUGAUUGCAGAGAUGAAGGACCUCACGAUGCAGGUCGCCGACCUGCGUGACAGGUACAAGCUCGACGACAUCAGUGUGAUGAAUACUACAGAGCAGGUGCAAGAAGUGAAGGAAGUCGUCUCAAGAAACUUUCAACUGUGGAUAUGGUGGCGUCAAUGCAUUUCUUACAGGAUUCGAGAAGUUUGGGCGGGGUGGCAUAGGGGCGUCAGUGGAUUUAUUCUUGCGGCCACUGGCAGCCGGGAGAUCCCCACUCCGAGCUUGGGUUCGAUCAACGGGAUGGAGGACGAUUCAGCUAGGAUGAGGGAUGAUAUGAAGGAGCUCCACGACUGGCUUAACAAAAAAAAUAAGGGUGGUGUGCUUUACGUCAUUGGUGAUGAAGGGGUUGGCAAGACCACCGUCGCCAAGUAUUUGUACCACAAGUUCGGUCAUCUAUUUGACCGCCGGGCGAUAGUAAUGGCAUCAUCUUGGGGCCAUGAUGACAAAGCCAUCGUAGAUAAGAUUAAGAAACAACUCCGUUUGGACCUCAAACGUCCUACGGCAGGUGAAACUUCCCUCAGGCUCCUGCUGUUAAUUGAUGGUGUCGAGUCUGAAGACACGUGGGAGAAAAUUGAAGAAGCUCUAUUUAAAUCCAAAUUACUGCCUGCUGGUAGUCAUAGCAAAACUAUAGUCACAACAAGGCAUUCAGCGGUUGCUUCCGCAUGGAAAAAAGAAAAUGGCGAUUUGAAGCACCCUCAAACCGCUGGUGAGACAGAAGAAGCCAAGUGCAUAUUCAUGCAGGCUUUGGGGGAAUCAACAAGAGGUGAUGAGGCAGAAGAUAAUAUUCCGCCUAGGGUGUGGGAGAUGUGUGCAAAGCAGCCAGUGGCCACAAUUGCCAUGGCUGGUUAUGCCGCCUGCAACCGAGGAAAGUCUCAGGAUGCAUGGAGAGAAGUUUGUAAUAAGCUGUUGCCGGAGUCUGUGAAAGAACUUACCCGGGGCGACAUCCCUAGGGUUCUUAGCCAUUGCUACCGUGAUAUGUCUGCCGAGCUCGAGACCUGCUUCCUGUAUCUAAGCAUGUUCAAGAAAGAAUCAAGUGUGAGCAGGAAGCAUCUGGCUAGGAGGUGGAUAGCAGAAGGGUUCGUGGGGGAGAAGCCAGGGAGGAGCGUGGAAGAGGUGGCGGAUGGUUACUUUGACCAGCUCGUGUCGAGGAAGCUCGUACAGCCGGUGGGUACAAGCAAGAAUGGCAAGGUGAUGAACUGUCAAGUUUAUGGCAUGGUUCACGACUUCAUCGUGUCCCAGGCAAGCCAAGAGAACUUGGUCACGGUGGCUGGUGGUGAUUCGCCUUCGCCACCGCCUAACGGCAAAGUCCGCCGGCUAUCCCUCUCCAUUCCCGCAUCUCCAGAUGAAGAAGAUCCAGGUGCCGGCAAGAACAUGCCCCAUGUCAGGUCGCUGGCCGUGUUCACCGCAAGAAAGCCGACUUCAACUUUACCGGCCCAACGGCUGCCUUCAGCUUUACUGAGCUCUCCGAUCAUACAAGUGCUAGAUCUUCAAGGCUGCAAGGGUGUCAAGGUAACAAAGAGACACAUGGAGGUGAUCUGCAAGAUGUUUCUUCUCAAGUACCUGAGCCUCCGAAGGACAAUCAUUGAGGCAAUUGGAAGGAACAUCGAGAGGCUCAAGAACUUGGAGACACUCGACGUUAGGGAGACUAAAGUUCAAUCGCUGCCAGAUACUAUAUGGAAGCUUCAGAAGCUAGUCAACAUACUUGGAGGGAACAAGAAAAAAAAAUUCGAGCCACUCCAGUUGAAGCUACCAGCUGAUGCCAAGGCCAAGAACCACCCCUGCAAGCCUGACGGUGUUACAAUGAAAGCCCUGCGCGUGCUAUCUGGAAUUGAGAUGACCCCAAAUUUGGCGAGGUGUCUCGAGCGUCUGACUAAUCUGAGGAAGUUGGCCAUCUACAAGGUCAGCGACACCGAGUCCAACAAGCUAGAAUUAUUCCGUCUUGGGUACCUACGGACCCUGGUGAUCAUAGCCGGUGGUGAAGCCAACAUAGAUGAGUUACUCAGCAGCCACGAUAUUCAAGCUUCCUCUUUGACGUCUCUUGCUGAUCUUCGGUUAUGUGGCAAGUUAGAGGAAGUCCCCACAUGGAUCCAAGAACUCACAGAUCUCACAAAACUGACCCUCCCCAUCACAGUUUUAACAAAUCGAGAACUGCUCGCUAAGCUUGCCAACAUGAAGAAACUCUUCUCGCUCACCUUCUCAACUCCCACAACUCUAGCUCCAGCUCCAGCUCCAGUGGGUACCAGUACCACCGAGAACAACUUUGAGGAGAUCAUCUUCUAUAGUGAAGGGUUUGCUAAUCUCAAGCUCCUCGAAUUCAUUGCUCCCUUGAUACAGCCCCUGAGCUUUCUCGACAACGCAAUGUCACAGCUGGAAAGGAUUCAUCUUCACUUCACCAACUUUCAAGGCCUGCAUGGCAUUCACAACCUGCGAAGGCUCCAGGAGGUGCACAUCGAGGUAAAAUACGAUGCAGAUGAUUUUACCACAUCCAUGCUACGUAAUCUUCUGGAGUCAGCCAUGCAAGAUGAUGCCAAGGCACCCAGGAUAACUCGUGACUGGUUUGAUUGA
rnacentral:rRNA from 1 species